GCAAGUCGAGCGGUAACAGGUCUUCGGAUGCUGACGAGCGGCGGACGGGUGAGGAAUACGUAGGAACUUGCCCGGAAGUGGGGGAUAACCAAGGGAAACUUUGGCUAAUACCGCAUAAUCUCGCAAGAGCAAAGCUGCCCGCAAGGGUGGCGCUUCCGGAGAGGCCUGCGUCCGAUUAGCUUGUUGGUGGGGUAAAGGCUCACCAAGGCGAUGAUCGGUAACUGGUCUGAGAGGACGACC
rnacentral:rRNA from 1 species